GAGUUUGAUCAUGGCUCAGAUUGAACGCUGGCGGCAGGCUUAACACAUGCAAGUCGAGCGGUAACAGAGAGUAGUUUACUAUUCUGCUGACGAGCGGCGGACGGGUGAGUAAUGCCUAGGAAUCUGCCUAGUAGUGGGGGAUAACUUGCCGAAAGGUAAGCUAAUACCGCAUACGUCCUACGGGAGAAAGGAGGGGACCUUCGGGCCUUUCGCUAUUAGAUGAGCCUAGGUCGGAUUAGUUAGUUGGUGAGGUAAUGGCUCACCAAGACCGCGAUCCGUAACUGGUCUGAGAGGAUGAUCAGUCACACUGGAACUGAGACACGGUCCAGACUCCUACGGGAGGCAGCAGUGGGGAAUAUUGGACAAUGGGGGGAACCCUGAUCCAGCCAUGCCGCGUGUGUGAAGAAG
rnacentral:rRNA from 1 species